GACGAACGCUGGCGGCGUGCUUAACACAUGCAAGUCGAACGGAAAGGUCCUGCUUUUGUGGGGUGCUCGAGUGGCGAACGGGUGAGUAACACGUGAGUAACCUGCCCUUGACUUUGGGAUAACUUCAGGAAACUGGGGCUCAUACCGGAUAUGAGCUCCUGCUGCAUGGUGGGGGUUGGUAAGUUUCGGCGGUUGGGGAUGGAAUCGCGGCUUAUCCGCUUGUUGGUGGGGUAGUGGCUUACCAAGGCUUUGACGGGUAGCCGGCCUGAGAGGGUGACCGGCGACAAUGGUACUGCGGUACGGCCCAGACUCCUACGGUAGGCAGCAGUGGGGAAUAUGGCACAACGGGCGGAAGCCUGAUGCAGCAACCCCGCGUGCGGGAUGACGGCCUUCGGGUUGUAAACCGCUGUCGCCUGUGACGAAGCGUGAGUGACGGUAAUGGGUAAAGAAGCACCGGCUAACUACGUG
rnacentral:rRNA from 1 species